AUGAACGCUGGCGGCGUGCCUAAUCCCUGCAAGUCGAGCGAACAGAUGAGGAGCUUGCUCCUCUGACGUUAGCGGUGGACGGGUGAGUAACACGUGGAUAACCUACCUAUAAGACUGGGAUAACUUCGGGAAACCGGAGCUAAUACCGGAUAAUAUAUUGAACCGCAUGGUUCAAUAGUGAAAGACGGUUUUGCUGUCACUUAUAGAUGGAUCCGCGCCGCAUUAGCUAGUUGGUAAGGUAACGGCUUACCAAGGCAACGAUGCGUAGCCGACCUGAGAGGGUGAUCGGCCACACUGGAACUGAGACACGGUCCAGACUCCUACGGGAGGCAGCAGUAGGGAAUCUUCCGCAAUGGGCGAAAGCCUGACGGAGCAACGCCGCGUGAGUGAUGAAGGUCUUCGGAUCGUAAAACUCUGUUAUUAGGGAAGAACAAAUGUGUAAGUAACUAUGCACGUCUUGACGGUACCUAAUCAGAAAGCCACGGCUAACUACGUG
rnacentral:rRNA from 1 species